rnacentral:rRNA from 1 species
UACGAAGGGGGCUAGCGUUGCUCGGAAUCACUGGGCGUAAAGCGCACGUAGGCGGCUUCUUAAGUCAGGGGUGAAAUCCUGGAGCUCAACUCCAGAACUGCCUUUGAUACUGAGGAGCUCGAGUCCGGAAGAGGCGAGUGGAAUUCCUGGUGUAGCGGUGAAAUGCGUAGAUAUCAGGAGGAACACCGAUGGCGAAGGCAGGUCUCUGGGCUGACACUGACGCUCAUGCACGAAAGCGUGGGGAGCAAACAGG